GGCUCUAUAGUUAAGAGGUACAAUACCACCUUCGGGUUAUUUUAUCAAAUCCCCCUGCCUUGCAGGGCAAUCUGAAUCUGGUGGAGGCCCGGGUUCGAGUCCCGGUGGAGCCC